UAGAGUUUGAUCCUGGCUCAGAAUGAACGUUGGCGGCGUGGAUUAGGCAUGCAAGUCGCGCGAGAAGUUUCCUUCGGGAAAUGGACAGCGGCGAAAGGGAGAGUAAUACGUAGAAAUCUGCCCCCUGGUCUGGGAUAGCGUCGGGAAACUGGCGGUAAUACCGGAUAAAGUCUUCGGACCAAAGGUGUGAUUCUGCCGGGGGAUGAGUCUACGACCUAUUAGCUAGUUGGCGGGGUAAUGGCCCACCAAGGCGAUGAUGGGUAGCGGGUGUGAGAGCAUGACCCGCCUCACUGGGACUGAGACACUGCCCAGACAUCUACGGAUGGCUGCAGCCGAGAAUCUUUGUCAAUGGACGAAAGUCUGAACAAGCGACGCCGCGUGCGGGGUGAAGGCCCCCGGGUUGUAAACCGCUGUCGUAAGGGAGCAAAUCCAUGGGGGUUAUCCCCCAUGGUUGAGUGAUCUUAGGAGGAAGGACGGGCUAAGUUCGUGCCAGCAGCCGCGGUAAGACGAACCGUCCGAACGUUAUUCGGUAUCACUGGGCUUAAAGAGUUCGUAGGCGGCCACGUAGGUCAGGUGUGAAAUCCCACAGCUCAACUGUGGAACUGCGCUUGAAACCACAUGGCUUGAGGAAGAUAGAGGUGAGCGGAACAGAUGGUGGAGCGGUGAAAUGCGUUGAUAUCAUCUGGAACACCGGUGGCGAAAGCGGCUCACUGGAUCUUUUCUGACGCUGGGGAACGAAAGCUAGGGUAGCGAACGGGAUUAGAUACCCCGGUAGUCCUAGCCGUAAACGAUGAGCACUAGUCCGUGGGAACCCUCACAUUUUCUCGGACGUAGCGAAAGUGUUAAGUGC
rnacentral:rRNA from 1 species